rnacentral:lncRNA from 1 species
AGAAAUAAAGUGGAAGACAGCCUCCACUGUUCCUAUUUUACUAUAAGUCUCUUGGGAGAAGGACUGACUCUUCAAUCCCUGUUGUAUGCAGCACACUAAACAGGACAGCGUCUUCCACCGUCACCCAGGCUGGAGUGCAAUGGUGCAAUCUUGGCUCACUGCAACCUCUGCCUCCCAGUUCAAGCGAUUCUCCUGCCUCAGCCUCCUGAGUAGCUGGGAUUAUAGGACCCUGCCAUCACACCAGGCUGAUUUCUUGUAUUUUUAGUAGAGACAGGAUUUCUUUUGGCCAAAAUAGGCCAAGCUUGUCUUGAACUCCUGACCCCCUGAUCUGCCUGCCUUGGCCUCCCAAAGUGUUGGGAUUACAGGAGUGAGCCAGCCUCCUCUCAUUCUAAAAUGGAUAUGAUGUGGCCCAAAUGCAUAAUACUAUAUUAUUUGACCACAAAUUGUUAGUCUCCACUCUCAAUACAAAAAGUCAAUUAUCUCCAAUACUAAAAACAGGCCAAAAAUAUUACAUUUAUGAAUUGUUCAUAAGACAAAACCACAAAUAAGGUAACAAGUCUCAAAGUCUUAUUUUCCCAAAAAGGUACUUUUUUUCAACUAAAAGAAAUGUACUGUUAUAGUUUACACCUGUGAGAAAGUUCAACAAAAGAAAGGAAUCUAAUAACUUACCCAAAUUUCCAUUUGAUUUUAUAAACAUUUUCACAUAAUCUAAGAAAUAGAAAAUGCAAACAAAUUUGUCAUGGGCAUUAAAUUGAGGCAAUUUCUAUGUGCUGAUUCAAAUAAAAGAUUUGGCCCCGUUCCUUUGGAUGAUGUAUCUGCCAACCGUCAAAUGUCAGGCUAGAUGAGGUUGGAGCAGAGAAGAGGAAGAGCAGACUGGAAAAGAGAGACUCCUUCUGCUUACACUGUCACCUUUCAGCACUACCCAUGCACUGUUGUCAGGAACCAUCAGUGCAUUUGGUCUAACAUUCAGUCCAAUCCUACCAUCUGGACAGUUCAGUACACUUCUGCUGAUUUAAAACUCAAAGUAAUAAGGAGGUUUUUGUUUGAUGAAAAGGGUCUGAGGUAG